rnacentral:rRNA from 1 species
UACGGAGGAUCCAAGCGUUAUCCGGAUUUAUUGGGUUUAAAGGGUGCGUAGGCGGCUUAUUAAGUCAGGGGUGAAAGGCAGUGGCUCAACCAUCGCAGUGCCCUUGAUACUGAUGAGCUUGAAUACACUUGAGGUAGGCGGAAUGUGACAAGUAGCGGUGAAAUGCAUAGAUAUGUCACAGAACACCAAUUGCGAAGGCAGCUUACUAAGGUGCAAUUGACGCUGAGGCACGAAAGCGUGGGGAGCAAACAGG